UAAGGAAUAUUGGUCAAUGGACGCAAGUCUGAACCAGCCAUGCCGCGUGAAGGAUGAAGGUCCUCUGGAUUGUAAACUUCUUUUAUCUGGGACGAAAACGGGAUUUUUAUCUCAAUUGACGGUACCAGAGGAAUAAGCACCGGCUAACUCCGUGCCAGCAGCCGCGGUAAUACGGAGGGUGCGAGCGUUAUCCGGAUUUACUGGGUUUAAAGGGUGCGUAGGUGGGCUUAUAAGUCAGUGGUGAAAUCUCCGAGCUUAACUUGGAAACUGCCGUUGAUACUAUAGGUCUUGAAUUAUCUGGAGGUCAGCGUAAUAUGUCAUGUAGCGGUGAAAUGCUUAGAUAUGACAUAGAACACCAAUUGCGAAGGCAGCUUACUACAUAUAAAUUGACGCUGAGGCACGAAAGCGUGGGGAUCAAACA
rnacentral:rRNA from 1 species